GUGUUUGCUUUGGCAGCACAUAAAUUAAAACUGAGACGAUACAGAGAUGAUUAGCAUGGCCCCUGCUCAAGGAUGACACGCAAAUUUGUGAAGCAUUCCAUAUUUUU